AACAACCAGAUCCCAUAAUGGGUUUUAGAGUUAUGGCCCCUGAAAGAGCCAAAAUUAGCUAUUUUGACCUUGUCUGCACAACAGCAGCUUCAUUUAUGAUUUGAUUUUAACCAAACUUGCACACAACUUGUAUCACCAUAAGAUCUCGAUUCCUUUUUAUACGCCCUAAGGGACGUAUUAUGUUAUCGCCUCGUGUCCGUCUGUCUGUCUGUCUGUUGGUUAGCAAUUUCCCUUUCGCUCUGUAACUCUUAAACCCCUUGAAGCAUUUCUAAGAAACCUGACACAAAUGUUCACCUCAUCGAAAUGAUGUGCAGAGCGCAUGUUUCGGAUGGCUCACUUCAAGGUCAAGGUCACGCUUAGGGGUCAAAGGUCAUAUGACUUUGUUUUGUGUGUAUAUUGCUUUGCAUUUGCGUUGCAUUGCAGUGCUCUUGUUUUUAUUUGGCAGAUACUUCUUUUGUUCACUUACAAUAAUUUUUUUUAAUUACUUCCCUUUUAUGUUACUAUAAACAGCUUAUUUAGUAACUUUUUAGCUCAUCUGAUUUUUUGAAAAAAAAUGAUGAGUUAUUGUCAUCACUUGAGCGGUUGUCGGCGUCGGCGUCGGCGUCGGUGUUGCCUGGUUAAGUUUUAUGUUUAGGUCAGCUUUUCUCCUAAACUAUCAAAGCUAUUGCUUUGAAACUUGGAAUACUUGUUCACCCUCAUAAGCUGACCCUGUAUAGCAAGAAACAUAACUCCAUCUUGCUUUUUGCAAGAUUUAUGGCCCUUUUGUACUUAGAAAAUAUCAGAUUUCUUGGUUAAGUUUUAUGUUUAGGUCAACUUUUCUCCUAAACUAUCAAAGCUAUUGCUUUGAAACUUGGAAUACUUGUUCACCAUCAUAAGCAGACCCUGUACAUCAAGAAACAUAACUCCAUCUUGCUUUUUGCAAGAAUUAUUGCCCCUUUUGGACUUAGAAAAUCAGUUUUCUUGGUUAAGUUUUAUGUUUAGGUCAGCUUUUAUCCUAAACUAUCAAAGCUAUUGCUUUAAAACUUGCAACACUUGUUCACCAUCAUAAGCUGACCCUGUACAGCAAGAAACAUAACUCCAUCCUGCUUUUUGCAAGAUUUAUGGCCCCUUUUGGACUUAGAAAAUAUCAGAUUUCUUGGUUAAGUUUUAUGUUUAGGUCAACUUUUCUCUUAAACUAUCAAAGCUAUUGCUUUGAAACUUGCAACACUUGUUCACCAUCAUAAGCUGACCCUGUAUAGCAAGCAACAUAACUCCAUCCUGCUUUUUGCAAUAAUUAUUGCCCCUUUUGGACUUAGAAAAUCAUUUUCUUGGUUGAGUUUUAUGUUUAAGUCAACUUUUUCUCUUAAACUAUCAAAGCUAUUGCUUUAAAACUUGCAACACUUGUUCACCAUCAUAAGCUGACCCUGUACAGCAAGCAACAUAACUCCAUCCUGCUUUUUGCAAUUAUUAUUGCCCCUUUUGGACUUAGAAAAUCAUUUUCUUGGUUGAGUAUUAUGUUUAAGUCAACUUUUCUCAUAAACUAUCAAAGCUAUUGCUUUAAAACUUGCAACAGUUUUUCACCAUCAUAAGUGGACACUGUACAUCAAGAAACAUAACUCUAUCCUGCUUUUUGCAAGAAUGAUGGCCCUUUUUAGACUUAGAAAAUCAUGGGUAGGACAAUAUUUCUAUUAUACAAAAAAAAAUCAGAUGAGCGUCAGCACCCGCAAGGCGGUGCUCUUGUUUAUAAUUGA